UUUUAUUGUUGAAAUUCACCCGUGUAUGUCCAUUGAUUGAAGAAUCAGUCUCUUGAAACUAAAAUAUUUCUUAGACAUGGCAAAUCUUACAUUGAAUCAACAUGCCAACAAUUCUGAAGAAAAUGAUUCAAACUUAGAACAAAAGCUUCAAAAUUGGUCAAUUCCAAAGAUUAGAACAAACCAAGUUUAUAAAACUUCAAUCUUUGAAUUCAACCCUGAUUAUGAGAUCAAAACAGUGGAAAAAUCUUUUGCAGUCCAAGGUCCAUACCAGAGGAUUUCCAUUUUGGAUUCACGCAUAGUGAAUCAACAUGUGAGAAAAUAUCGUGAUCUACACAUUGGAUUAGUUCAACUAGCUGUAAAACCUCUUACCAGAUUAAGGUAUUGUGACCUCCCUAUCUUAAUCUGCUUAAGAGAUAAAAGGAUGUUGAGAUUUCACGAAUCUGUGUUAGCAGUUCUUGAAUGCAAUAUUCAGAAUGGACCAGCAUAUUUCAAUUGUUUUCCUAGCUAUCCAGUUUGUCUCAGAGACCCUCAUGUUACAACAUGUGUAGAUUUAGAUAUAAAAAUUCCAAAUGAAAUGUUCAUUGAUGGAAUUCCACCGGUUAGUAUCAUGUACAGAUUUUGUUAUAAAGUCACUGACAACCUCUCUGGCAUAAAGGCCGUAAGAGAUUACACAGUGAAUGAAACUGAAGUAACAGAAAUCAAUGCUGAAAACUCUUCAAGAAUCACCCGGAAGAUACUCAAACAUGAUGAAAUCACAUAUCCACAAGAAUGGCUGCAAGGAUGUUCUUCACAACCUGCACCUUGAAAAUGUUCAUUGCCAUUGGUCAAAAACUAUUCAAGGAUAUCAUUAUGGCUUAAGAAUCUCUGUAUUGCAUAACUUUAAAUUGUGAGAAUUCACUGGUGGCACAACAAGUUUGGUGAGGCAUCGUAUGUUAUAGUUAGUCUUCACUUGCGAGCAUAUGCAGAUGCUGCACUUGUGACUUUUCUUUUGGUACAUCGGAAAAUAACUGCACUUGUGACUUGUGAGAAAAGAACUUUCCAAAUCAAAGUUAGACUCUGUAGAAAUCUCUUGUUUGCAUAAUGUCGGAAGUUGUCACUAAUUGUCUUUGUUUCUUAUGAUUUCUCUCUUGUAAUGAAAAAUAGUUAAUGUUGUUUCUAGUUUUCUACUUGUUUUUGUAUCUUUAGUCUCUUAUGAUGCUCUCUUUUAAUUUGUAUUGAAUACUAUAAUUAUAUAAUAUUGGAAGGGAAUUGAGUUGGAUUUGGGCCAUGGUAUUUGGUUUUCAUUCUGAUUUGCUUGUACUUGCAAAUUCGUUGCAUUUAUUCAUUCAUAGCAUUAUUAUUUCUGAAAACUAUCACUAGCAUGAUGGAGGUGGCUAAUUUGUCCGGCGGAAGGAGGAGGAUUGAGUACCAAGAGAAGGUGAGAAGAGGUGGCUAUUGUGUAGGGCGCUGAGCACAAGUCACAGUGGAGACCAGGGCGCAACUAAGCGUUGAAGAACACAACAUGAUUGAGGUUGCGAUUCGACAAUGGAAGGUGGUCCAUUUACAAGAACACAAUGUAUAGAACAAUGUCAUUAUACAACACAAUUUAAAAAUCAAAGAGGUAGAAUUAACUAACCUGUAAAGAGUGAGUGUAGCGGGCGAGACAGUGGCAAGGGCGAGAAGGAGGCAGAGGGCGUAGUGGCGACAAGAGGAUGGAUCCGUGACAGGAGGGGGCACGAUGGCGACGAUAGGAGAAGGGAGAACUAUGGGUGACGAAAUUGGAAUCGAAGGAGGGUAUGCUCACGACGAUAGUGCAAGAGGCACAACAAUAAUAAGAUAUGCUCAUAAGGAGGGAUAGGGCCUGCUCGGGGACGAGAGAGUCACUUCCUAGUUAAUACCGUUUUCUUAAUUAAUUAUUUGCAUUGAGUACGGCCUCGAUCAGAGGGGGACGAAAUUAGAGAGGGGGAGGGCAUGACGCUUCAUCAACAACAACGACGAGUUUCAUUGAGGAGGAUGGUUUUGCGGAGACUAGCAGAUUUAGGGUUAUGGAGAGAGACAACUAGGAUUCAAGGAGUGGGGAAUGCAGAUGAAGACAAUCUUUGAAAUUUCAUUCAAUAGACGCUAUUCAGCGUUGGUCAUGCUGAAAUUAAUCUUUAAAUUACAAAUUCUAUAUUUUAACAAUUUGUGUCGGCUAAACCAACGCUAAGUAAUCAAAAUUAGCGUCACAUUGAGAACAACACAAUAUAUAACGCUAAAUUAUCCCUUUCUUGUAGGCUGUAGCGAUAAAAAUCAAUCCAAAAACUUUUAAUUAACAACCAUAAGAUAUAUUAAUAAAUAAAAAAUGGACACUAUUUGAACACAACCACAACUGAUCGAGUUUUAGGGCAGGGAUAGAUGACACCAAGUAGUUUAGGGGGAAAAGGGAAAUUUAACUUUUUCACACUUGUCCACCUCCACUUUGAGAGGUGGACAGGUGGGAAAAGAAAGAGAAUUGAUGUGAUUCACCAAUCACACCAUACAUAAUACCAAGUAGCUUAAUGGGGGUGUAGAAAUUCAAUCCGGUUUUAUAAACCACAAACAACAUUUUAUAUAAAAGAAAACAAAAUUCACAUGUCUCAUUCCUAUCAUAUCCCAAUACUUCACAUCUCUAGUUUGUCUCCCUUAUCUGAAAUGAGAUAAGUAAGGUAAUGUGAUAGAAAUAGAAGUGAGAAAUAAAAAGAAAAAGAUAAAUGAAAAUGAAAUGAAAAAGAAUAUGAAAUGUGAUAACUCAAUAAUAAAUACACUAUCUAGAUGGAUCUAGGCUUUUGACCAUAAGCUAAGAAAUCAUUUUUUUAAACAUGGAGAAUGGUUGUUGGCAUAAUGUGAUUUCGAAACUGCCUAUGACUAUCCUUUGUGGGGAGAUAUUGGCGAAUAAAAGAGUGUUAAAUAUGUUUUUGAUCCCUCUAAUUUUAUCAUUGGUUGGAAUAGUUUUUUAACCAACUUAUCUUAAAUAUUAUUGGUUUCCCUAAAAAUAAGAUGAUUUAACUAAAAAAAAAAAUUCUAGAGUUAUUUAUACAAGUCCAAAAGAGUUUACUUUAGAACAAAUAAUAGGAGGCACCAAUUUUUAAAUCAAUUACCCACUAUUAAUAAUCAUUGAUUCAAUAUCUACGAUUAUAAUCAUUAUAUCAACAACAAUUUAUAAUAGAUCACAAAAAAUGUCCACUAUAUAACUUUCCUCACUUUGUUUUAGAGUUUUUCUCUAUGUUUUCCCCCUCUUUGCAUUAAUAAAGUAUGUGAAAGUAGGUCCACCCUAGACCCUAGUCUUUAUCUUUGGAGUAAUAUAUCAUUUUUUUUUUUUAUGUAACCAAAAAAAAAUAUAUCAUUUUUAUAAACUUUUUUUUACACAACUCCAAAACGGACUUGAAAGGCAUUGAAGUCCGCAAAAUUCAAUAAAUAUAUUCAUAGAGGAAGACAAACCUGUAUAUUAUUAACCAGCCCCUCUUGCUUUCUCAAGCUUUACAUCAAAUCAAAGUCUCUUGUAUUCCUUUAGUAAGUCCUUUCAACCUAUCUCCAUUAGUAUUACUCUAUCAUAAGCAUUUUUCCUCUCAAUAUUUCAUCCUAUCUUUUAUUUUUAUUGUUGAAAAUUCACCCCUGCAUGUUCACUAUUUGAAGAAUUUAUCUCUUGAAACCAAAAUAUUUCUAAGAUAUGUCAUAUCUUACAUUGAACCAACAUGCCAACAAUUCUGAAGAAAUUGAUUCAAACUUAGAACAAAAGCUUCAAAAUUGGUCAAUUCCAAAGAUCAAAACAAACCAAGUUUAUAAAAUUCCAAUCUUUGAAUUCAACCCUGAUUAUGAGAUCAAAACAGUGGAAAAAUCUUUUGCAGUCCAAGGUCCAUACCAGACUAUUUCCAUUUUGGACUCACGCAUAGUGAAUCAACAUGUGAGAAAAUAUGGUUCUCUGCACUUUGGAUUAGUUCAAGUAGCUGUGAAACCUCUUACCAGAUUAAGGUGCGACCUCCCUAUCUUAAUCUGCUUAAGAGACAAACGACAUUUGAAAUUUUGGAACACUGUCAGAGCAGUUCUUGAAUCUGAUAUUCAGAAUGGACCAGCAUAUUUCAAUUGUUAUCCUAGCUAUCCAGUUUCUCUUAGAGAUCCUCAUGUUACAAAAUGUUUAGACUUGGAUGUAAAAAUUCCAAAUGAAAUGUUCGUUGAUGGAGCUCCACCACCGGUUAGUAUCAUGUACAGAUUUUGUUAUAAAGUCACUGACAAC
rnacentral:lncRNA from 1 species